UACACUCCUACGGGAGGCAGCAGUGGGGAAUUUUGGACAAUGGGCGAAAGCCUGAUCCAGCAAUGCCGCGUGAGUGAAGGAGGCCUUCGGGUUGUAAAGCUCUUUUGUCAGGGAAGAAACGGUGAGAGCUAAUAACUCUUGCUAAUGACGGUAACUGAAGAAUAAGCACCGGCUAACUACGUGCCAGCAGCCGCGGUAAUACGUAGGGUGCAAGCGUUAAUCGGAAUUACUGGGCGUAAAGCGUGCGCAGGCGGUUUUGUAAGUCUGAUGUGAAAUCCCCGGGCUCAACCUGGGAAUUGCAUUGGAGACUGCAAGGCUAGAAUCUGGCAGAGGGGGGUAGAAUUCCACGUGUAGCAGUGAAAUGCGUAGAUAUGUGGAGGAACACCGAUGGCGAAGGCAGCCCCCUGGGUCAAGAUUGACGCUCAUGCACGAAAGCGUGGGGAGCAAACAGGAUUAGAUACCCGUGUAGUCCCAUG
rnacentral:rRNA from 1 species